rnacentral:misc_RNA from 1 species
GCAAACUUGGUCAUUUAGAGGAAGUAAAAGUCGUAACAAGGUUUCCGUAGGUGAACCUGCGGAAGGAUCAUUACUGAAUGUUGCCUCGAUGGGUUGUUGCUGGCUUUGAAAAACUCAGAGCAUGUGCACGCCUGUCUUGACUUCUAUUCAUCCACCUGUGCACCUUUUGUAGUCUUUUUUGGUGGCCUGGAGAAGCAGGUGCAGCUCAGCUGUGCUUGUGAUAACCUUCCCACUGAGGGCUAUGUCUUUUCACAAUUAUACCACCUAGAAUGUAACAGAAUGUUGUCAAUGGGCACUUGUGGCCUAUAUAAAAAUCUAUACAACUUUCAGCAACGGAUCUCUUGGCUCUCGCAUCGAUGAAGAACGCAGC